rnacentral:rRNA from 1 species
AGAUUGAACGCUGGCGGCAUGCCUUACACAUGCAAGUCGAACGGCAGCACGGGAGCAAUCCUGGUGGCGAGUGGCGAACGGGUGAGUAAUAUAUCGGAACGUGCCCAGUCGUGGGGGAUAACGCAGCGAAAGCUGUGCUAAUACCGCAUACGAUCUAUGGAUGAAAGCGGGGGAUCGCAAGACCUCGCGCGAUUGGAGCGGCCGAUAUCAGAUUAGCUAGUUGGUGGGGUAAAAGCCUACCAAGGCGACGAUCUGUAGCUGGUCUGAGAGGACGACCAGCCACACUGGAACUGAGACACGUCCAGACUCCUACGGGAGGCAGCAGUGGGGAAUUUUGGACAAUGGGCGCAAGCCUGAUCCAGCAAUGCCGCGUGCAGGAUGAAGGCCUCGGUUG